CUACGGGAUGCUGCAGUGGGGAAUAUUGGACAAUGGGGGAAACCCUGAUCCAGCAAUGCCGCGUGUGUGAAGAAGGCCUGCGGGUUGUAAAGCACUUUCGGUUGGGAGGACUGCUUCUAGCACUAAUAUUGUUGGAAGUUGACGUUACCUUCAGAAGAAGCACCGGCUAACUCCGUGCCAGCAGCCGCGGUAAUAGGGAGGGUGCAAGCGUUAAUCGGAAUUACUGGGCGUAAAGCGCGCGUAGGCGGCUAGAUCAGUCGGGUGUGAAAGCCCCGGGCUUAACCUGGGAACUGCAUCCGAUACUGUCUAGCUUGAGUACAGGAGAUGAGAGUGGAAUUCCACAUGUAGCGGUGAAAUGCGUAGAUAUGUGGAGGAACACCAAUGGCGAAGGCAGCUCUCUGGCCUGCUACUGACGCUGAGGUGCGAAAGCGUGGGGAGCAAACAGGAUUAGAUACCCCCGUAGUC
rnacentral:rRNA from 1 species